rnacentral:misc_RNA from 1 species
CAACCCUCAAGCACUGCUUGGUGUUGGGCCCUUGCCAGCGAUGGCAGGCCCUAAAACUAGUGGCGGCGCCGCUGGGUCCUGAGCGUAGUAAUCCUCUCGCUACUGGGCUUCGGCGCGCACCCCGCCAGCAACCCGUCUUUCUAU